UCUAUUUCCGUCAAAACCCUAAAAUUUUCUCCUCAGGCUCUCAUACAGAGUUGCUUCCAGGAGGAAAGAGGAAGAGGGAGCUAAUGGAGAAUCAUGCGAAGGGCAAAGACGAAAAUGAAAGCCGAAACCCGGCCAAAAAUAAUAACAAAAAGCGUAAUGUGAAGGGCGAAGAUGAAAAUCAAAGCCAUAACGCAGCGAAAACCAGCAGCAAAAAGCGUAAGGAAGUCUUUCCCUAUGGCAAUUACAGGAAUUACUAUGGCUAUCGAAUAGGUCAAGGCCUAGAUGAAGAUCCCCGGUUGAAAGUCUUCAGGAAGGAAUGGUUUGAGGGCAAAGAUUGCCUUGAUAUUGGCUGCAACAAUGGAAGAAUAACCAUCCAAAUCGCAAAGAAGUUUCUCUGCCGAAGCAUUCUUGGAAUUGACAUUGAUUCUAAUCUGGUUCAGGAUGCAUACUGGAAUCUGAGAAAAGCAGUCAAAUUGGAAUCUUCUGGAAAGAAACCUGCAAACGCUUCAAAGCUAAGAGUUGAGUACCAUCCUGAUGGUAAUUUAGAACAGAGUGUUGCUGUUUCAUCUAGUGAAGAGCCAAAAGAGGUUUCAAGAGAACCUUCAUCUAUGGAUAACAGAAAUCUGGAGGACAGAAAUCUGUUUGAUGUUGUCUCAUUCCAAAGAGAUAACAUUGUUAAGAGUCAUCAUUCAUCAGAAAAGUGCUAUGAUACAAUUCUUUGCAUGAGUGUAACAAAAUGGAUACAGCUCAAUUGGGGGGAUGAUGGCUUGCUCACUUUAUUUGCAAGGAUUUGGAAAAUGCUUCGACCAGGUGGUGUGCUUGUAUUGGAACCUCAACCAUGGAAAUCGUAUGAAAGUAAUCGUCUUGUCUCAGAGACUACUUCUAUCAACUACCGUAACAUUAUGUUUCGUCCAGAACAGUUUCAGGAAAUACUAUUGGACAAGGUUUGGAUGAAUUGUUACUUCGUGGUGCUUUUUGUUUUUAAAGUUGGUUUAAUAAAUAACUAGUUCUCUUGUUGUUGAGCUUAAUUAAUAGAGUAAAUUAGUGUCUCCUCCAUGUGGUUUGGUCUAUUUUCUUUGCCAUCCUGUUCCUGUGGUUCAAUAAGUAGGAAUGACAGAGGGUGGAUGUCUGGUCAAUUUUUCUAUCCAUCUAUCAAACUAUUAUUGAAUCCAAAAUAUACAUUUCCAGAAUGAUCUGGUAUCCAAAGCACUUGAAAUUUCCAAAGCGUUGGGUAAUGGCUUUUGGACAUGACAAACCCAAUGCUCGAUGUAAAAAUGAACACAAGAAGAACGAGGGAAGGGAAACUCCCAAAUGCAGGGAGAUAAGGGAAUACUUUCACUCUGAAGAAAUUACCUUGAGCAUGGUUUAGAUGUCCCUUGUGCCUUAGAACAACUUAUCAUGCAGGAUUAUGUGAAACUUUCAUGCCCUACGUUGUGAAUUCCGAAUUUGAAGUACAAAUGCAAACUAAAAUUUUUAAAAUAAGCUAAGAAGACCUAUGCGACAACAGAGGAUGCCGUCAUCUCACCAGUUCUCAUUAAUUCCAGACCUUCCUAGUUUCAGUUCACAAGCUAAGGGCCUUAGCUUAUGUUUGAAGUGUCUGUUCUUCAUGAAUUCUGAACACGGAUAAUUGGUGGAUCUUUGCCUUAGAUGUUAGCGCUGUUAUUUUUAGUCAAGUUUAAAUGAUUAACAAAAUCAAGAAAAAAUGUAACUAAUGGGUGAACGUUCCCCUGAGGAAGUUGUAGAAUUUCAGGGAAACCUGAAGAAUAUUGAUGAAUAGCGAGGCCUUGUUUGCAAAAUGGAAAGAAAUGGAGAUUUAGCUGGUGAUCCAAUGAGAUGGUGAGAGAAGGCGAGAAAGUGUCAGGAAAAGAAUUUCAAGUGUACUGGGAAACCGAGACUGGAUGAGGGAGCUUCUUUCUGUUAAUCACUUGCAUUUUGUAGACAUGGAGAAAAGAAUGAGGGAUUUUAUAUGAUAAAGCAAGCUGGGUAACACUUGAGGUGGCAAGCCAAGACAGGCCAAACCACGGAGAGAGGAAACUUGUAUUUUCCCCCUCCAAUUAAUUAUUAUUUUACUAAAAUUUUUGAUGUUUGGACUUGUUUUCAGAUUGGAUUCAGAACCGCAGAAGAUAUUACUUCUGAAUUGUCAGGGACCAAGACUGGUUUCAAUAGACCAAUUUUGGUGUUUAAGAAAUGAGCCGUACAGAUAGUCAGAUAUCUUUUUUUUUUUUUUUUUGUUUUGGCAAAGGAGAAACAUCAAGAGGGAGCUGCUGCUGCACAGCUCAUGGGAGGACAUGUUUGUGACCUGUUCAGGGUGAGAAUGAGAAAUAUUUUUAAACACAACGAGGACGUUUGCCGCAUUGCUUGCUUGGAAUUGACGAUCGUGAUCUUUCAUUUGUAUGACAGCAAUGGUAGCAAAUUGAGUUGGAAGGCGACCUUCUUAAUAUUGAAGUACAUAGUUUAUCGAUUUGAAUAUCUGCAUAAUGUAAAGCGAAACCAGCAGAGUUUUUAAGUACUGAAUACGUUUUACUCUAGUUCUGUCAUUACGAAUUCUGCACAAAUCAUGCGAUCCUCCAGCUGUAUUUAUUUGGUUAUCCUGGGGGGGUUUGAUUUAUGGCCCACACUACUCUUUUCACGUGUAAAAUUUCUGUUGAGAACU